UACGAAGGGGGCUAGCGUUGUUCGGAAUUACUGGGCGUAAAGGGCGCGUAGGCGGUGUGUCAAGUCAGGCGUGAAAGCCCCGGGCUCAACCUGGGAACAGCGCUUGAGACUGGCACGCUCGAGUUCGGGAGAGGAUGGUGGAAUUCCCAGUGUAGAGGUGAAAUUCGUAGAUAUUGGGAAGAACACCGAUGGCGAAGGCAGCCAUCUGGACCGACACUGACGCUGAGGCGCGAAAGCGUGGGGAGCAAGCAGG
rnacentral:rRNA from 1 species